UACGUAGGGUGCGAAGCGUUAAUCGGAAUUACUGGCGUAAAGCGUGCGCAGGCGGUGAUGUAAGACAGGUGUGAAUCCCGGCUUAACCUGGGAACUGCAUUUGUGACUGCAUCGCUGGAGUGCGGCAGAGGGGAUGGAAUUCCGCGUGUAGCAGUGAAAUGCGUAGAUAUGCGGAGGAACACCGAUGGCGAAGGCAAUCCCCGUGGGCCUGCACUGACGCUCAUGCACGAAAGCGUGGGGAGCAAACAGG
rnacentral:rRNA from 1 species